AGAGUUUGAUCAUGGCUCAGGAUGAACGCUGGCGGCGUGCUUAACACAUGCAAGUCGAACGGGAUAUACUUUUAGCUUGCUAAGUUGUAUAUCUAGUGGCGGACGGGUGAGUAACGCGUGGGUAACCUGCCGUAUGCUGGGGGACAACAGUUGGAAACGACUGCUAAUACCGCAUAAGCGCACGAGAUCGCAUGAUCUUGUGUGAAAAACUCCGGUGGCAUACGAUGGACCCGCGUCUGAUUAGCCAGUUGGCAGGGUAACGGCCUACCAAAGCGACGAUCAGUAGCCGGCCUGAGAGGGUGAACGGCCACAUUGGGACUGAGACACGGCCCAGACUCCUACGGGAGGCAGCAGUGGGGAAUAUUGCACAAUGGGGGAAACCCUGAUGCAGCGACGCCGCGUGAGUGAAGAAGUAUUUCGGUAUGUAAAGCUCUAUCAGCAGGAAAGAAAAUGACGGUACCUGACUAAGAAGCCCCGGCUAACUACGUGCCAGCCGCCGC
rnacentral:rRNA from 1 species